rnacentral:rRNA from 1 species
UACGGGGGGGGCAAGCGUUGUUCGGAAUUACUGGGCGUAAAGGGCGCGUAGGCGGUUCGCUAAGUUGGAUGUGAAAACUCUGGGCUCAACCCAGAGCCUGCAUCCAAAACUGGCGGGCUAGAGUUCUGGAGGGGGUAGCGGAAUUCCUGGUGUAGCGGUGAAAUGCGUAGAUAUGGGGGAGAACACUCGUGGCGAAGGCGGCCAGCUAGACCAGUUCUGACACUGAGGCGCGACAGCGUGGGGAGCAAACAGG